CCCGCACCAAGACGAAAAGACCCCAGAACCUUUACUGCAGCUUGAUAUUGAGUUUGGAAAUUGUUUGUGUAGGAUAGGUGGGAGGCUGUGACGGUUCGGCGCUAGCCGGGCAAGAGCCAACGGUGAAAUACCACCCUAAUGAUUUUUAGAUUCUAACUUCGACCCCUGAAUCGGGGCGUAGAACAGUGUCAGGCGGGCAGUUUGCUUGGGGCGAGUCCCUUCUAAAAGAUAACGAAGGGGUCCAAAGGUUCCCUCAAGACGGUCGGCAACCGUCUUUAGAGUGCAUAGGCAUAAGGGAGCUUAACUGCGAGUCCGACAGGACGAGCAGAUGCGAAAGCAGGGCUAAGUGAUCCGGUGGUUGAAUGUGGGAUUGCCAUCGCUCAACGAACAAUAGGUACUCUGGGGAUAACAGGCUGAUCGCGCUCGAGAGUUCAUAUCGACAGCGCGGAUUGGCACCUCGAUGUCGGCUCAUCCUAUCCUGGGGCUGUAUAAGGUCNNNNNNNNNNNNNNNNNNNNNNNNNACGCGAGCUGGGUUUAGAACGUCGUGAGACAGUUCGGUCUCUAUCUGGUGUGGGCGUGCGAUACUUGAAGGGGAGAUCUCCUUAGUACGAGAGGACCGGGAGAUACAGACCUCUGGUGUUCCGGUUAUCCUGCCAAGGGUAAUGGCCGGGUAGCUACGUCUGGAAAGGAUAAGCGCUGAAUGCAUCUAAGCACGAAGCCCCCCCCAAGAUGAGGUAUCGUUUCUCUUCGGAGAUAAAGGUCCCUUGUAGACUACAAGGUUGAUAGGCUGCGUGUGUAAGAGCCGUAAGGCUUUAAGCUAAGCAGUACUAAUGGACCGAAUGCUUGACCUU
rnacentral:rRNA from 1 species